rnacentral:misc_RNA from 1 species
GUUGCGGAACAUUUCAAGAGGGGCUUUGAACCACAAUGGUUGUCCUUGACUUUCUCUAAGGCUAUAUUUCUUGGUAAUGGUCUCAUUGCCAUUAUCUCUGGGUUGUUUGCAAACUUACUGGCCGAAAACUUGGGUUUUGGUCCUGUUUCCCCCUUCGAUGCUGCUGCAUUCUUCCUCGCAAUUGGUAUGGUCAUUAUCUUAACAUCUUGGGGUGAAAACUAUGGGGAUGCUUCGGAGAACAAGAGUUUACUUUCCCAAUUCAAGGGUGCUGCUGUGGCAAUUGCUUCUGAUGAGAAAAUUGCA